UGGGUCCACGUCCACACUGACAGGAGCCGUGAGCCACCUCAGGACCCGCGGGGAGGCUUCAGAAAAUUGUGGGCCCGCAUCCACGCUGACAGGAGCACCUCAGCAGCCUCAAAACCCUCGGGGAGGCUUCAGGAAGAUAUGGGCCCGCAUCCACGCUGACAGGAGCCCCUGAGCCACCUCAGGACCUGCGGGGAGGCUUCAGGAAGAUGUGGUGUGACAUCCACUCUGGCAGGAGCUCCCAGGCCCCUCAGGACAUAAGUUGAGGCUUUUGGAAGUUGGGGGCUGCAUUCAUGGUUACAGGAGCUCUGACCUCCUCAGAACCCUUGGUGACACUUCGGGAGGACUUGGGGCCACAUGGACAGAACAGGACCCUGACUUCCUCAGGACCCCCGGUGUAGACUUGGGGAAAUAUGGGGAUGCGUCCAUGCGGACAGAAGACCCCAGCAUUGUCAGGGCCUGUGGUGAGGCCUAAGAAAAAUGUGGGUGCCGCAUCCACACUGACAGGAUUCUCUAGCCUUCUCAGAACCCACUGUGAAGGUUUGGGAAGAUUAUGGGCCACAUCCAUGCUGACAGGAGCCCCGAGCCUCCUCAGGUCUUAUGGUGAGGCUUGAGGAAAAUGUGGGGCCAUGUCAACCCUGACAGGAACCCCGUCCUCCUCAGGACCAGCACUUUGGCUUCAGGACAUAUGGGGCUGCGUCUCUGCUGACAGGAGCCCACAGCUCCCUCAGGACCCGCGGUGAGUUUUCUAGGGGACGUGGGGCCAUGUCCAGGCUGACAGGAGCCCCCAGCUUCCUGAGGACCUGCUGUGAGGCUUCCAGAGGAUGUGAGACAUAGUCCACAAUGACAGGAGACCCGGUGUCCUCAGGCCCCGCUGACUAUGACUCAGGAACACGUGGGGCCAUGUCCACACUCACAGGAGCCCUGCUUCCUCAGGACCCCCUGGAGGACUCUGGAGGAGCCAUUGGGGGCCACGUCUACAUCAGAAGGGACUCCUCAGAACCACAGGCAUUCCCUUCUAUGCGGGACAGUAGCGGAGUGAGAACCAAGUGUCUGCAUUGUCAAUUUCGCGACUACCGGACACCUGCUUCCAAGUGAUGC
rnacentral:lncRNA from 12 species